GAGGGUAUAGCUCAGAGGUAGAGUGCAUGCCCGGCCAAACAAGGUCCUGGGUUCAAUUCCCAGUACCUCUG
rnacentral:tRNA from 1 species